UACGAAGGGGGCUAGCGUUGCUCGGAAUGACUGGGCGUAAAGGGCGCGUAGGCGGCGAUCACAGUCAGAUGUGAAAUUCCUGGGCUUAACCUGGGGGCUGCAUUUGAUACGUGGUUGCUUGAGUGGGGAAGAGGGUCGUGGAAUUCCCAGUGUAGAGGUGAAAUUCGUAGAUAUUGGGAAGAACACCGGUGGCGAAGGCGGCGACCUGGUCCUUGACUGACGCUGAGACGCGAAAGCGUGGGGAGCGAACAGG
rnacentral:rRNA from 1 species